UACAGAGGUCUCAAGCGUUGUUCGGAUUCAUUGGGCGUAAAGGGUGUGUAGGUGGCGCGCUAAGUCGGGUGUGAAAUUUCGGAGCUUAACUCCGAAACUGCAUUCGAUACUGGCGUGCUUGAGGACUGGAGAGGAGACUGGAAUUUACGGUGUAGCAGUGAAAUGCGUAGAUAUCGUAAGGAAGACCAGUGGCGAAGGCGGGUCUCUGGACAGUCCCGGACACGGAGACACGAAGGCCAGGGGAGCAAACGGG
rnacentral:rRNA from 1 species